GAGUACACAGACAGUAUGUUCCUGUUAAGGUCAAGGCUGGGAGGCGUCGAGAAUGCUGCGUGACCUGCGAAUUUGAGGCUCUGGUCAAGAAAAUGAAGGAAGGAUAUGGCAGGGUGCUGGAUGGUCAG